rnacentral:rRNA from 1 species
GGUUCAGCGUCGUACGGGAGGCAGCAGUGGGGAAUUUUUGGACAAUGGGCGCAAGCCUGAUCCAACAAUACUGCGUUUGUAAAUAAGGCCCUCGGGUUGUAAAGCACUUUGAUCUGGAGCGAAAUAUUGCAAGGUUAUUACUUUUUCAGUCUUACGGUACCUGAGGAAUAAGCACCGGCUGACUCCGUGCCUGCAGGCGCCGUAAUACUUAGGGUGCAAUAGUUAAUCGGAAUUAUUUUGCGUAAAGCGUGCGUAGACGGUGUGUUAAGUCGGCUGAGAAAGCUCAGGGGUCAACAUGGG